rnacentral:rRNA from 1 species
GACGAACGCUGGCGGCGUGCCUAAUACAUGCAAGUCGAACGCAUUUUCUUUCACCGUAGCUUGCUACACCGAAAGAAAAUGAGUGGCGAACGGGUGAGUAACACGUGGGUAACCUGCCCAUCAGCGGGGGAUAACACUUGGAAACAGGUGCUAAUACCGCAUAAUUCCAUUUACCGCAUGGUAGAUGGAUGAAAGGCGCUUUUGCGUCACUGAUGGAUGGACCCGCGGUGCAUUAGCUAGUUGGUGGGGUAACGGCCUACCAAGGCUGCGAUGCAUAGCCGACCUGAGAGGGUGAUCGGCCACACUGGGACUGAGACACGGCCCAGACUCCUACGGGAGGCAGCAGUAGGGAAUCUUCGGCAAUGGACGCAAGUCUGACCGAGCAACGCCGCGUGAGUGAAGAAGGUUUUCGGAUCGUAAAACUCUGUUGUUAGAGAAGAACAAGGAUGAGAGUGGAAAGUUCAUCCCCUGACGGUAUCUAACCAGAAAGCCACGGCUAACUACGUG